UACAGAGGGGGCGAGCGUUGUUCGGAAUUACUGGGCGUAAAGGGCGCGUAGGCGGCCCGCUAAGUCGAACGUGAAAUCCCCAGGCUCAACCUGGGAACUGCGUCCGAUACUGGCAGGCUUGAAUCCGGGAGAGGGAUGUGGAAUUCCAGGUGUAGCGGUGAAAUGCGUAGAUAUUGGGAAGAACACCGGUGGCGAAGGCGGCUCUCUGGACCGAUACUGACGCUGAGGCGCGAAAGCGUGGGGAGCAAACAGG
rnacentral:rRNA from 1 species